rnacentral:rRNA from 1 species
AAGUCGAACGAAUAAGAGCCUAGCUUGCUAGGAAUUCUGUUAGUGGCAGACGGGAGCGUAACACGUGGGAACUUACCCUUGCAGUAUGGGAUAACAACGGGGAAACUGUUGCUAAAUACCAUAUACUCUCUGAAGGAGAAAAAGAUUUAUCGCUGUAAGAUAGGCCCGCGCUAGAUUAGGUAGUUGGUGGGGUAAUGGCCUACCAAGCCUACGAUCUAUAGCUGGUCUGAGAGGACGACCAGCCACACUGGGACUGAGACACGGCCCAGACUCC